rnacentral:rRNA from 1 species
GACGAACCGUGCAAACGUUGUUCGGAAUCACUGGGCUUAAAGGGCGCGUAGGCGGGCUUGCAAGUCUGUGGUGAAAGCCUCCAGCUCAACUGGAGAAGUGCCGUGGAUACUGCAAGCCUUGAGGAGGGUAGGGGCAUCUGGAACUGCCGGUGGAGCGGUGAAAUGCGUUGAUAUCGGCAGGAACUCCGAUGGCGAAAGCAAGGUGCUGGACCCUUUCUGACGCUGAGGCGCGAAAGCCAGGGGAGCAAACGGG